rnacentral:rRNA from 1 species
GAUGAACGCUAGCUACAGGCUUAACACAUGCAAGUCGAGGGGCAGCAUGGUCUUAGCUUGCUAAGGCCGAUGGCGACCGGCGCACGGGUGAGUAACACGUAUCCAACCUGCCGUCUACUCUUGGACAGCCUUCUGAAAGGAAGAUUAAUACAAGAUGGCAUCAUGAGUCCGCAUGUUCACAUGAUUAAAGGUAUUCCGGUAGACGAUGGGGAUGCGUUCCAUUAGAUAGUAGGCGGGGUAACGGCCCACCUAGUCUUCGAUGGAUAGGGGUUCUGAGAGGAAGGUCCCCCACAUUGGAACUGAGACACGGUCCAAACUCCUACGGGAGGCAGCAGUGAGGAAUAUUGGUCAAUGGGCGCAGGCCUGAACCAGCCAAGUAGCGUGAAGGAUGACUGCCCUAUGGGUUGUAAACUUCUUUUAUAAAGGAACAAAGUCGGGUAUGUAUACCCGUUUGCAUGUACUUUAUGAAUAAGGAUCGGCUAACUCCGUG